CCUGGGGAAGAACGAUUGACCGCCAUCAAAACUUUAUACUAUUGGUCCUGGUGGCCUUCCUAUGUUCAUUUUUUUAUUUAUACUUUUCUGGUAUUUUUUUAGUUGGGGAAUACAUCUACUUUUAUUUACCUGGACACUUCUGAAAUGACAACUCAAACAAAACUAGUUAAACACUUAUCGCAAUUUUACCCAUCUUAGCGUUUCUGUAUUUUGGAGAGGGCAUUUUGACAAAGGAAUUAACAACUUAAUUUAAAUAUACGUUUAAAUUUGUAUUGUGUAUAAAUGUACCGUUAUGUAAAAUCUUUUGUUCGAAUAAAUUUGAUUGCAAAAUUAAACCAAAGUUCCAUGUCUCAAAUCAUUGAAACUAUAGUGUGAUGAAUUUGACUAGAAGGUAAGCAAUAUAAAUUUCACGAUCUACAAAUUGGUAAAUAAGACAUUAUUAUAUGGUUGACCUGUAGGCUAUUGCUUAACUGAGGUCAAAUCUUGGUGUCGCAAACCGAUUAUUUUAAGCCUAGGGGUAGUUUUAAAGAAUUAGUUACGCUUGCAAUCUAGUUGAGGUGUAUGGUAUUUCCGUUUCGAGUGUUACACCAAGCGACAAAUAAAACCUUUCUUCAGCUGCGUUCUUUCUAUGUUGUUUUCUUACACUUAUUCUGUUAUAUAAUUUCCGUCUCAUUAUGGUAUUGUUAUAAUUGGUUUUGUCCGAAAUUAAAAAGAAACGAAUAAUGCACGAAAAAAGUGAAAUUGUGUGGUCUACAGAUAGUUCAUAGCCUAUUUCUGUCACUAUUUAGUUUUUUUUGUAAUUUGUAAUGAAGGAUCUGUUUAGUUAUUUUUUUUUUGUAAACUAAGGGUCUUUAUAGGCCUAAUAUUUUGUAAAUUGAGGGUCUUUUGAGGUCUAUUACUUUGUAAAUUGAGUGUCUUUUUAGGUGGAACAUUUUGUAAAUUGAGGGUCUUUUUAGUUACUGAUUGUUACAGAUGAAUUUCUUUCCAGAAGCACAAAGACACCUUUAAAAGAAUAAAUAGUCAGAAAAGUACAUUAUAAGUAUUUUUAUGGAGAGUCUUUUUGACAAGUACAAUAUGACUCUUUAAUUAUUGGCACCAUUUGAUUCACUUCCCUACUUUACUAUCAAAGUUUAAGUUAGCUCAAG
rnacentral:lncRNA from 1 species